UAGGGAAUCUUCCGCAAUGGACGCAAGUCUGACGGAGCAACGCCGCGUGAGUGAAGAAGGAUUUCGGUUCGUAAAACUCUGUUGUUAGAGAAGAACAGCGCAUAGAGUAACUGUUAUGCGUGUGACGGUAUCUAACCAGAAAGCCACGGCUAACUACGUGCCAGCAGCCGCGGUAAUACGUAGGUGGCAAGCGUUGUCCGGAUUUAUUGGGCGUAAAGCGAGCGCAGGCGGUCAAUUAAGUCUGAUGUGAAAGCCCCCGGCUCAACCGGGGAGGGUCAUUGGAAACUGGUUGACUUGAGUGCAGAAGAGGAGAGUGGAAUUCCAUGUGUAGCGGUGAAGUGCGUAGAUAUGUGGAGGAACACCAGUGGCGAAGGCGACUCUCUGGUCUGUAUCUGACGCUGAGGCUCGAAAGCGUGGGGAGCGAACAGG
rnacentral:rRNA from 1 species